rnacentral:rRNA from 1 species
GUCCACGCCCUAAACGAUGUCAACUGGUUGUUGGGUAACUUGUUUAUUCAGUAACGAAGCUAACGCGAGAAGUUGACCGCCUGGGGAGUACGGUCGCAAGAUUAAAACUCAAAGGAAUUGACGGGGACCCGCACAAGCGGUGGAUGAUGUGGAUUAAUUCGAUGCAACGCGAAAAACCUUACCUACCCUUGACAUGUAUCGAAUCUUUGAGAGAUCAGAGAGUGCCCGAAAGGGAGCGGUAACACAGGUGCUGCAUGGCUGUCGUCAGCUCGUGUCGUGAGAUGUUGGGUUAAGUCCCGCAACGAGCGCAACCCUUGUCAUUAAUUGCCAUCAUUUAGUUGGGCACUUUAAUGAGACUGCCGGUGACAAACCGGAGGAAGGUGGGGAUGACGUCAAGUCCUCAUGGCCCUUAUGGGUAGGGCUUCACACGUCAUACAAUGGCUGGUACAGAGGGUUGCCAACCCGCGAGGGGGAGCCAAUCUCAGAAAGCCAGUCGUAGUCCGGAUUGUUCUCUGCAACUCGAGAGCAUGAAGUCGGAAUCGCUAGUAAUCGCGGAUCAGCAUGCCGCGGCGAAUACGUUCCCGGGUCUUGUACACACCGCCCGUCACACCAUGG